rnacentral:rRNA from 1 species
AUUGAACGCUGGCGGCAUGCUUUACACAUGCAAGUCGAGCGGUAACAGGCCUUCGGGUGCUGCCGAGUGGCGAACGGGUGCGUAAUGCAUCGGAACGUACCCAGAGGUGGGGGAUAACGCAGCGAAAGCUGUGCUAAUACCGCAUGUGAUCUGAGGAUGAAAGCGGGGGACCGAGCAGCAAUGUUUGGCCUCGCGCCUUUGGAGCGGCCGAUGUCGGAUUAGCUAGUUGGUGGGGUAAAGGCCUACCAAGGCGACGAUCCGUAGCUGGUCUGAGAGGACGACCAGCCACACUGGGACUGAGACACGGCCCAGACUCCUACGGGAGGCAGCAGUGGGGAAUUUUGGACAAUGGGCGCAAGCCUGAUCCAGCAAUGCCGCGUGCGGGAAGAAGGCCUUCGGGUUGUAAACCGCUUUUGGCAGGAACGAAACGGUGUCCGCUAAUACCGGGCGCUAAUGACGGUACCUGCAGAAUAAGCACCGGCUAACUACGUG